AAAUGCUGCAUUAAGAAAAGAAAGGAAAAGAUGUUAGAACAUUUUUAAGGAAAUUUAAAUAAUUCUCACAAUCAAUAUUGGACUAUAAACAAUAAAUUAUUACCAAUGCAAUAACAUGCAAACAGACCUGUCAACCACCUUAAUAAUAGAUACUACGCGGUAGGCAUGGGCUGGUUACCAGUUUUAAGGUACACCGUGGUUUUAAACAGUCAAGGUUACAAAACCACUAAAAUGGUCUGUGAAACCGUCUCCAAGGUAUGAACUGUAUUUAUACAAAAUUCAUUAAGUCAUGUGAUUGAUUUGAUGUUUACAUGUAACAUACAUUUCGAAAAUAUUAUAUAUAAUAUAAUUUAAAGGCUUUAUUUUUACCUGCCAUUUAAAAAUAAAAAAAAUUAGUGUAGCAAUGGGAAUACCGCAACACUGUGAAACCGUGGUAUUUUUGCUAAAGGUAAUCAUACCGCCAGAAUCUUAUACUGGCCCAUGCCUACUAAGCGGUUGUACCAUGUGUUAGAAACAUCAAGAUUCUCAAAUUUUUAGGGCUAGCGCAAUACCACAGUUUUGUCUAUUCUUCAUGUUCUCUAGGGCAGUUAUUUUGCCCCAGUGACAGAAACAGCGACAGUAAUCAAAUAAUUCAUUACCUUAUCUACAUGUGGGUAGAGGCCCACAGGUGAAGGAAGAUUUUUGGCCUGCACUUUCACAGCUGGUAAACAUGGAUUGUGGUGGGCUAGUGACAGAAUGAAGAAGAUCAGUUUAAAAUGUGCUUUACAACCAGAGGUUGCAUUAUUUUGACAGACAAGGGCUGUAAGAAAAUUGUCAAAAUCAAUAAUAAUAUGAGCCAACAGCCAAACAAUAACAACUAAACUCAAUCAACUAUCUUAAUCUGCCUGAACUCAAAUCUUGUGGUCUAUAAAGUGGGAGUUUAUCUGUGUGUAAUUCAACCAUCAUGUUAGACUGAAGGAAUUACAGUUAUCAUUAGAUUUCCCGACAGCACUGGACAAAUGACUUCUCACACUCAGUGUGACUUGAGACAAAGGAUAAACAAAGACAUUGAGUAUGUUUACAUGCACAUAAUAAGAGGACAAUUAUCUUAUUAUGAUAUUAUAAAAAUCAGCUUAUUACAUUAACAUGUUUCAAGCGUUUUAAUUUACUUUUAUUUGUGAAGUUUAUCUAUCACAGGUGGAGACAUACGCACAUACGAAACGGCAAAAAAGACUUUAAAAUCUGGUUUAAGAGCAAAAAAACUACCUGUGCCAAUCAGUUUUUGCCAUUUAUGGGCUUUACCCUAUAAAAGAAAACCAUUUUAUGCAUUUAAAUGACCUUACACGUUAUCAGUUUAUUAAGCGUUUAGACUAUGUAGACACACUCACUGUGCACUAAAAUUAAAAAAAAUUGGUUAACACGACCACUCGUGGUGGCUUCACUCAGAGGUUGGAGAAGACAACCGGUGGACUAAACAUCAAGCCUCUGCACGAUUCAGAAUUAAGACAACCUUAGCAGGAGAGCCCCAGCAGUAACUUUCUCUCAAGCAGAUGAGCAAUAAGUUGCUUUGUAUGAACACCACCCUAACAAUCAAGGUAAAAGAGCAUUAAACAUUAAAGGUAUUGCGGAGAAUUUAGGUUUUCCGGGUGGAUCAUCAAGACUAUUGGUCCUCCUAGUUGUCAAUCUGGAGUGUUGCGCAAUUGCAUUUUUUUUAAAAAGCGGAGACGGCGUUUCUUUUCUAAAAUUCGAGAAAAUCCUCCGCUACACCUUUAAGUGGAACAUUUCUAUAGCAUGCUGCUUAUAGCUAGUGAGAAAGAUAAUCUAAUUGAUCUACCAUGCAUAUCCUUCAAAUAACUUAACAGAACAACUGAACAUGUAUAAUAUAAUUUAAUAUGUACAUUAUUAAUAAUUGUUAAUAAUAUUUAAUAUUUGUGAAAUUAUAUACUUGUGAAUUCAUUAUAUUUGCAAUGUUUAUACAUUACCUGUUUUUAGGUAAACAGAUUAUCCAUCAGUGGGUGCCUCAAGGUCGGCUCUGUAAAUACUGUAUUCUGCAUGUUUUCGAGCACACGUUUUCCAGGACACACUACUAUUAAACAGAAAAACAACAUAAAUCAGUGUUAAACACAAACAAAUUUUAGGUAAAUUAAAUAAGGUUUUCAUUUUCAAUCAAUAUAAAAGAAAUAAACGCAAUAAAAAACAAUGUCAGUGACGUAAUAAAUAUGUGUAAAUUUACACGCAUCAUUUAUUAAGCAUUAUAAAAAAAUCCAGCAAUAUGAUUAAACUUUGGUUAUUUGUUAUUAUCCCUGCAUUCAAAUGGUUGCAGGUUGGAGCAGGAAGUUAACCCUUCUGUCGCGCAAGCGCGAGCAUAGACAGUGGUCGCGAGGCCAUUCGUACGUCACGUGAGCGCCAUUUUCAUGAUAUGACCGUUUUUCCUCAGGCACACUUCAACAUUUUCUUCGCAUUUAACAUCAUUAUUAACAUGUAAAUAAUAUAAUUCGUAAACAUAACGUUUAUGUUAAUUUAUAAUAUGUUUUUUUUUUAUUGUUGGCUUUAAGUUAAUUUGUCUGUCAGACUCAGUUUGUUCGUGUUGUAGCCUGUUAACAGUAGACCAAAGGUAUGAUGAUCAAUUAUAAAUGCAAUAUGGUUGAAAAGUCAGUAAACAAACAACAAAAAGCUUGACAAAAAUGUAGCUUGAAGGAGAAGGGACAGCUGAGUAACAAAGUCCUGGUAUGCAGACGACGAUACUAUUACACUGACAAGAGUGUAAUGAUGAUGGAGACACAAGCCAGAGAAAGGGGGGACCAAACACCAGGCCAGAAUUCUGCAUGAGUCAGAUCCAGUGGGUGCAGAUCAUCAUACAGAUGGUUCAAGUGUGGAUCCACCUAAUAUUCAAGAUUUUCUGUCCUGGGACACUCGGCUAACCAUCAAGAAAGAACACACUCCAGUGGGCAUCCAUUAUCCAUCCAGACCCUCAUACAGAUGGUUGGAAUUUUGAUUCACCUAAAGUACCAUGCAAGAGCACUCAUUUUCACUCUUGAGACCAUGGUGUGACCUGCAAGGUCGAAUGGAGACUGUAAACGAGACAAUCUUGGAGUCACCUGCCUUCACUGGUUCAGUUGUUAGUCCAAUUACAGAUGGAGAUUAUAGAAGAGGAUGAUGUCUUUUCUCCAACAUCUUUCUAGACUGAUAAAAGAUCUAGACAGGCUUGAACAAAAGUUAACAGAGGGGCUUAUAUAGAGAAUGGUGAGCAGCUACACAUAAAAGAAGAACAUGGAGAAUCUGCCCAGAGGUGUUAACCAGCAAUGCAGCUAUACAACUAAAUUGAUGCAGGCGGAAACAAUAAUGCAGCUGCUGCAGAUGAAGAAUCUGUCCGUCUACCACUGAAGGAGACGCGGAAAAUCGGGAAAAGAUGUUCUUUGCCCGAGGAAGCAUUUGAUUAAUUUAAAGAUAUUGUGUUUCUUUGUAUGUUAUAGAAAAACGUUGCUUUUUUGCAUACACUCGUGUAAAUAUGCAUCUUAUGAAUGUUUUCCUUUGUCUAAUUUUAAUAAAUUUUACGCAAUCAA